rnacentral:rRNA from 1 species
GACACGCUGGCGGCGUGCCUAACACAUGCAAGUCGAACGGAGAUAGGUUGAAAGCUUGCUGGAUACUUAUCUUAGUGGCGGACGGGCGAGUAACGCGUGAGCAACCCGCCCCAGACUGGGGGAUAACGUCGGGAAACCGGCGCUAAUACCGCAUAACACUGCGAAGCCGCAUGGUUUUGCAGUCAAAGCUCCGGCGGUUUGGGAUGGGCUCGCGUCCAAUUAGCUAGUUGGUGAGGUAACGGCCCACCAAGGCGACGAUUGGUAGCCGAACUGAGAGGUUGAUCGGCCGCAUUGGGACUGAGACACGGCCCAGACUCCUACGGGAGGCAGCAGUGGGGAAUAUUGCGCAAUGGGGGAAACCCUGACGCAGCAACGCCGCGUGAAGGAAGAAGGCCUUCGGGUUGUAAACUUCUUUGAUCGGGGACGAAGAUGACGGUACCCGAGGAACAAGCCACGGCUAACUACGUG